rnacentral:rRNA from 1 species
GUGGGGAAUUUUGGACAAUGGGCGCAAGCCUGAUCCAGCAAUGCCGCGUGCAGGAAGAAGGCCUUCGGGUUGUAAACUGCUUUUGUACGGAACGAAACGGUCCGGGUUAAUACCCUGGGCUAAUGACGGUACCGUAAGAAUAAGCACCGGCUAACUACGUGCCAGCAGCCGCGGUAAUACGUAGGGUGCGAGCGUUAAUCGGAAUUACUGGGCGUAAAGCGUGCGCAGGCGGUGCUGUAAGACAGGCGUGAAAUCCCCGGGCUCAACCUGGGAAUUGCGCUUGUGACUGCAGUGCUGGAGUACGGCAGAGGGGGAUGGAAUUCCGCGUGUAGCAGUGAAAUGCGUAGAUAUGCGGAGGAACACCGAUGGCGAAGGCAGUCCCCUGGGCCUGUACUGACGCUCAUGCACGAAAGCGUGGGGAGCAAACAGGAUUAGAUACCCGUGUAGUCC